rnacentral:rRNA from 1 species
UACGAAGGGGGCUAGCGUUGCUCGGAAUUACUGGGCGUAAAGCGCACGUAGGCGGCUCUUUAAGUCGGGGGUGAAAUCCUGGAGCUCAACUCCAGAACUGCCUUCGAUACUGUAGAGCUUGAGUUCGGGAGAGGUGAGUGGAACUGCGAGUGUAGAGGUGAAAUUCGUAGAUAUUCGCAAGAACACCAGUGGCGAAGGCGGCUCACUGGCCCGGUACUGACGCUGAGGUGCGAAAGGCGUGGGGAGCAAACAGG